rnacentral:misc_RNA from 1 species
GUGAAUCAUCAAAUCUUUGAACGCAAAUUGCACUCCCUGGUAUUCCGGAGAGUAUGUCUGUUUGAGAGUCAGUUUAAAUAAAAAUCGGUGUGGUUGCUGCCUUUCGUGGUGACGCACCGGAGGUGGGUCGUCGUGACUGCGGUUAAGUAACCUAAAAUUUUGCAUUAUUCUUUCGAACGUAUUUAAAUGAUAUUGCGUACGUUUGCGUUAUCGAAUACUAGGUUCGGUCAUCCUCUUG